rnacentral:tRNA from 1 species
UACAUUUUGGUGUACGGUGCACAAGAAUUUUUGAUAUUUUAGGGGAUAGUUUAAUUCUGUCAAAUGUAG